AUGGACUGGACCUGGAGGUUCCUAUUCUUGGUGGCAGCAGCUACAGGUGCCCUGUCCCAGGACCAGAUGCAGCAGUCUGGGGCUGAGGUGAGGAAGCCUGGGACCUCAGUGAAGGUUUCUUGCAAGGUUUCUGGAUAUACCUCAAGCAGGUUACGUAUCAGCUAUCGUAUCAGCUGGGUGCAACAGGUCCCUGGACAAGGGCUUGAAUGGAUGGGAUGGAUCAUCACUGGCAAUGGUGACACAAACUAUGCACAGAAGUUCCAGGGCAGAGUCACCAUGACCAGGGACACGUCCACAAGCACAGCCUACAUGGAGCUGAGCAGCCUGAGAUCUGAGGACACGGCCGUGUAUUACUGUGCGAGAGACAGGCCAGGAGCUACAAUACCUUGGUCUGGAAAGCAGUGGACAGAAAUAUCGGUUUCUCUUGCCACACAUCUGAACACCAGGCAGGUGCUGGAGACACUGUUUCAGGAGCACCCAGCAGAUCUCAGAGGGACCUGCUGGUCACUCACGUGGGACAUCAGCAGUAACUUUCUCAGUCGCCAGUCAGCUGUGCUGGUGACUGAUGGAUCCAGGACAGAACCAAGGCACCUGCUCAGUGUCAUGGAGAGUGAUGGUUCCAGAAAUUAUCCAGGUGCUCUUUGCUUAUAA